GGAGCUUGCUCCACCGAAAGAAAAAGAGUGGCGAACGGGUGAGUAACACGUGGGUAACCUGCCCAUCAGAAGGGGAUAACACUUGGAAACAGGUGCUAAUACCGUAUAACACUAUUUUCCGCAUGGAAGAAAGUUGAAAGGCGCUUUUGCGUCACUGAUGGAUGGACCCGCGGUGCAUUAGCUAGUUGGUGAGGUAACGGCUCACCAAGGCAACGAUGCAUAGCCGACCUGAGAGGGUGAUCGGCCACACUGGGACUGAGACACGGCCCAGACUCCUACGGGAGGCAGCAGUAGGGAAUCUUCGGCAAUGGACGAAAGUCUGACCGAGCAACGCCGCGUGAGUGAAGAAGGUUUUCGGAUCGUAAAACUCUGUUGUUAGAGAAGAACAAGGAUGAGAGUAGAACGUUCAUCCCUUGACGGUAUCUAACCAGAAAGCCACGGCUAACUACGUGCCAGCAGCCGCGGUAAUACGUAGGUGGCAAGCGUUGUCCGGAUUUAUUGGGCGUAAAGCGAGCGCAGGCGGUUUCUUAAGUCUGAUGUGAAAGCCCCCGGCUCAACCGGGGAGGGUCAUUGGAAACUGGGAGACUUGAGUGCAGAAGAGGAGAGUGGAAUUCCAUGUGUAGCGGUGAAAUGCGUAGAUAUAUGGAGGAACACCAGUGGCGAAGGCGGCUCUCUGGUCUGUAACUGACGCUGAGGCUCGAAAGCGUGGGGAGCGAACAGGAUUAGAUACCCCUGGUAUUCCACGCCGUAAACGAUGAGUGCUAAGUGUUGGAGGGUUUC
rnacentral:rRNA from 1 species